rnacentral:rRNA from 1 species
GACGAACGCUGGCGGCGUGCUUAACACAUGCAAGUCGAACGGAAAGGCCCUGCUUGCAGGGUACUCGAGUGGCGAACGGGUGAGUAACACGUGGGUGAUCUGCCCUGCACUUCGGGAUAAGCCUGGGAAACUGGGUCUAAUACCGGAUAGGAGCCACUUUUAGUGUGAUGGUUGGAAAGUUUUUUCGGUGUAGGAUGAGCUCGCGGCCUAUCAGCUUGUUGGUGGGGUAAUGGCCUACCAAGGCGGCGACGGGUAGCCGGCCUGAGAGGGUGGACGGCCACAUUGGGACUGAGAUACGGCCCAGACUCCUACGGGAGGCAGCAGUGGGGAAUAUUGCACAAUGGGCGCAAGCCUGAUGCAGCGACGCCGCGUGGGGGAUGACGGCCUUCGGGUUGUAAACUCCUUUCGCUAGGGACGAAGCUUUUGUGACGGUACCUAGAUAAGAAGCACCGGCUAACUACGUG